UACAGGGGGGGCAAGCGUUGUUCGGAAUUACUGGGCGUAAAGGGCUCGUAGGUGGCCGACUAAGUCAGACGUGAAAUCCCUCGGCUUAACCGAGGAACUGCGUCCGAUACUGAAAGGCUUGAAUCCGGGAGAGGGAUGUGGAAUUCCAGGUGUAGCGGUGAAAUGCGUAGAUAUCUGGAGGAACACCGGUGGCGAAGGCGGCAUCCUGGACCGAUACUGACACUGAGGAGCGAAAGCCAGGGGAGCAAACGGG
rnacentral:rRNA from 1 species